GAUGAAGAACGUAGCGAAAUGUGAUACUUGGUGUGAAUUGCAGAAUCCCGUGAACCAUCGAGUCUUUGAACGCAAGUUGCGCCCGAAGCCAUUAGGCCGAGGGCACGCCUGCCUGGGCGUCACACGUCGUUGCCCCCCCAUCUACUCCUUCGGGAUUGCGGGGGGCGGAUGAUGGCCUCCCGUGCGCCUCGUCGCGCGGUUGGCAUAAAUACCAAGUCCUCGGCGACGCACGCCACGACAAUCGGUGGUUGCGAAACCUCGGUUGCCCGUCGUGUGCGUUCGUCGCGCAUCGAGGGCUCGAAAAAAUGCUCGGCUCCGGCUGGGCUUUCAACGCGACCCCAGGUCAGGCGGGGUUACCCGCUGAAUUUAAGCAUAUCAAUAAGCGGAGGA
rnacentral:misc_RNA from 1 species